rnacentral:lncRNA from 13 species
GUGCUGGCGGCGGGGCCCCGCCCCGGCGAUGCCCAGCAGGCUGCGCUGCGGGCGGUGCCGGGCAGGCCGCGGCGAUGGCGGUGGUGUAGCUGUGAGCGGGCGGUGCGGGGCCACCAUGAUCAUCGAGAGCGUAGACGCGCUCAAGUCCUGGCUGGCCAAGCUGCUGGAGCCCAUAUGUGACGCAGACCCCUCAGCCUUGGCCAACUAUGUUGUGGCGUUAGUCAAGAAAGACAAGCCCGAGAAGGAGCUGAAGGCUUUCUGUGCUGACCAGCUGGAUGUGUUUCUGCAGAAAGAAACUUCAGGGUUUGUAGAUAAACUUUUUGAAAGUUUGUACACCAAGAGUUACCUUCCUUCUGCUGAGCCCACAAAGGCAGAGGCAAAGGCUGCAGGGCAAGAGAAAGAGGAAGUCAAGGAGGAGGUAAUGUUAUUUAUUCUGCCUGCCUUUUAUUUUCAAAUUACAUGGUCUACAUCUGUCUUUUCUAGAACCAGAGAGAAAAAGCGGGAUGAUGGGAAAUGGAGGGACUAUGACAGGUACUAUGAUAGGAGUGACUUGUACAGGGAGAAGUCUGGCUGGCGCCGGGGCAGGAGUAAAAGCCGGAGCAAAAGCAGAGGGUUAAGUCGGAGUCGCAGCCGCAGCAGGGGCCGGAGCAAAGACCGGGAUGGCAGCAGGAGCGAGCACCGAGAGAGAGAGAGAUCAAAAUACAAGAGUGAAAAAAAUGAUGUCGAAGGCGAGAGAGAGAGAGAGUCUGCAUCUCCCAGUAAAAAAACUGAACAGUAUUCCUCCGCACAAGCUUUUCCCAAUGCUGUAACUGUAGUUGCACCUGCGCACCACCUUGAAAGCACCACAGAGAGCUGGUCAAAUUUCUUCAACAAUCACAACAAUCCCAGUUCAUUUGGCAGAAACCCUCCUCCUAAAAGAAGAUGUCAAGAUUAUGAUGAGCGAGGCUAUUGUGUCCUUGGUGAUCUCUGCCAGUUUGAUCACGGAAAUGAUCCUUUAGUAGUAGAUGAAGUUUCCUUGCCGAGUAUGAUCCCAUUCCCGCCGCCGCCGCCGGGGCUGCCGCCGCCGCCGGGGAUGCUGCUGCCGCCGCUGCCGGGGCCCAUGCGCGGCCUGAGGCUGCCGGUGCCGCAGCCGCACCCGCAGCCCCCGCCGCCCGUCGUGCUGCCUGUCCCGCGACCACCUUUAACACAGUCCAGCUUGAUAAACAGUCGUGACCAGCCGGGGACAAGCGCAGUGCCCAGUCUUGCACCCAUAGGAGCAAGGCUGCCUCCUCCUCUGCCCCAGAACCUGCUCUAUACAGUGUCAGAACGUAAGCAAAUGCCUUUUGGUUUAAAUCUAAGUCUGAUGGUUCUCCCUGGGUCAGCCCAUCAUCCAUUCUGGUAUGGAAUGGCAGCAGGGCUCUGUCCUGUCUUAAACUCACUUGAAAAAUUCUGUCAUUUCUCUCCUUUUUUUGUAGAUACAUAUGAGCCAGAUGGCUAUAACCCUGAAGCUCCUAGUAUUACCAGUGCUGGUAGAUCUCAGUAUCGGCAGUUCUUUACGAGAGCACAAAUGCAGCGUCCAAAUCUAAUUGGCCUAACAUCUGGGGAGAUGGAUACAAACCCUCGAGCUGCCAACAUUAUCAUCCAAACUGAACCUCCCAUUCCCAUUACAAAUAACAGCAGCAAUGUCACUAGAGUUGUCCUGGAACCAGAUAGCAGGAAAAGAUCUCCAAGCAGCAUGGAAUGUCCACCAUUGAAGAAGCCCUGGUUGGGAAAGCAAGUAAAUAACAACCAGAAUAAGCCAGGGUUUUUGAAAAAGAAUCAGUAUACUAAUACAAAAUUAGAAGUUCGAAAAAUCCCACCAGAAUUGAACAAUAUUACACAGCUCAAUGAACACUUCAGCAAAUUUGGAACUAUUGUAAAUAUUCAGGUUGCUUUCCAGAACGAUCCUGAAGCUGCUCUCAUUCAGUACUUGAGUAACGAUGAGGCAAGGAAGGCAAUUUCCAGCACGGAGGCAGUGCUGAGCAAUCGGUUUAUCCGGGUGCUGUGGCACAGGGAAAGCGAGCAGCAGCCCCCAGUGCUGCAGCAGCAGCCACCACCCACCCCCCAGGCCCUGCAGCACCUGCAGCAGCAGGCCCUGGCCACACCGCCCGCCGUGACCAUGCACAGCAGCCUGUCCAAGGUGAUGAACAAACCCCUGGCAUCUGGUGCCUAUGUCCUUAACAAAGUCCCAGUGAAAAGGCGCCUUGGAGCAGCGGGUGGGAGCCAGCCUGAGCUGAGCCAGCCCGGGGCUGGGGUGGAGGAGUCUCAGAUAUUUCCUACUUCUACAAGCCACUCAAAAAUGCUUUACAGUUCUCCAAACUUGAAGACAACUCUGAAGUCUGGUGCAGGGUCUAAACCUCAUGAUGUGCAGGAAGCCCUUAAAAAAAAACAGGAGGCAAUGAAACUCCAGCAAGAUAUGAGGAAAAAGAAGCAGGAGAUGUUAGAAAAACAAAUAGAAUGCCAGAAGAUGUUGAUAUCCAAGCUGGAGAAAAACAAGGCCAUGAAACCAGAAGAGAGAGCAGAAAUUAUGAAGACUUUAAAAGAACUAACAGGAAAAAUAUCUCAGCUAAAGGAUGAAUUGAAAACCUCAUCUACAACCUCCACACCAUCCAAACUGAAGUCUAAGACAGAGGCACAGAAGGAACUGUUGGACGCAGAGCUGGACUUCCAUAAGAGACUGUCCUCUGGAGAGGACACGACUGAACUGCGGAAAAAGCUCAAUCAGUUACAGGUGGAGGCUGCUCGGUUAGGAAUCUUGCCUGUUGGUCGAGGAAAGACAGCGUCAGCCCAAGGCAGAGGCCGGGGCCGGGGCCGUGGGGGCAGAGGACGGGGAAUGUUGAACCACAUGGUGGUGGAUCAUCGGCCCAAAGCACUCACCGUGGGAGGCUUCGUUGAAGAGGAAAAAGAUGAAUUGUUACAGCACUUCUCUGCUGCUAACCAGGGAUCCCGGUUCAAGGACCGACGGCUCCAGAUCUCGUGGCACAAUCCCAAGGUACCUUCUGUGUCCACAGAAGUAGAGGAAGAGGAGUCCAAGGAAGAGGAGACUGAAACCUCAGAUUUAUUUUUGCACGAAGAUGAUGAUGAUGAUGAUGAAGAUGAGGAUGAAUCCCGUUCUUGGAGAAGAUGAAACUUGAUGUUCGAAAUGUAUAAUUUUAGGAAUAUAGUUCAAACUACAUCUUUUAAACGUUUAUUUAAGGAAGUUGAUGAGCCAAAAAAAGCUUUACUUUCUUUUUCAAACCACAAGAUUUACCAUGAGCAGUUUGGUAUGAAAACAUUUGGGACACAGAGCUGAGAGACUGAGCUAGCCAAAGGCCCAGGAACUUCUUACAGGAUUAUCAAGCUCACCAGGGUGGUGAUUUUUUUCUAUUUAAGAAGGAUAAAAAGGGGGGGGGAGGGGUAAGGGGGGGGGAGUUGGAAAUCAGUAUUUUCUUGUCCUCUUUUUGUGUCACCUGUAUUACCUUGUUUUGGGUUUUUUAUAAUGUGAUUGAUUUGUUAGUUUAUAAUUGAAAAGAUAUUACAGGUUUUAUUUAGCAAUAUUAUGGGGUUAGGGGAAAGACAAACUUUCAUUAAAUAUUAUGAAAGAAAAAACUGGCCUCAUUUGCUCGUUGAAAAAAGGUAGCAUUUUGUUUCCUGUGGAGUCUCAUGUUGUAGGAAUUAUUUGUUGCUAGAUUCUUAAAUAAUUUACUUCAGUAUGUUUGACAGCCACACAGUCUCUAUGUUGUGCUGCUUUUUGUGAGAGGAGGUGGAAGAAACAAUUUAACAGGGUAUUGUUAUAACAUUGUCCAGUUCACUCUGUUUCUCCAAAUUCUGCUUCACAGAAAACAUCAGCAGGGACACACACACUGGAGUGGAUUUGCACUCCUUCUUGAUUUCCUUCUGUCAUUUCAGUGUAAGGCUCAGUGUAAGUCAGGCUAUUCAUUGCAUUUCAGUAUUUGUGAGCAGGAAUGGAAGGAGUUCCAGUCUUCCUCGAAAGCAGCUAAGCUGGCUCCUGUCUACCAGCCAGGAGCAACUCUCCUCCUCUCCCUGUUCCCAGCCAUGUUCCAGGCAGAGCCCUGAGGUGUUCAGAGCAGGGUGGGUUUCAGCCCAUAGGACUGGGGUGUCCUGCUUAGCCUGGCCCCAAACCAGGGUCCAGCGCCCCAAGGGUGUUGUGAGCUGGGUCUCCAGGGGGUGUCCCUCAUGGCCCAGGGCAGUUCUUUCAGGCGUGUUGAGCUGAACCCCGUCACGUGCUCCAUUGCCUCGCUGCUGUCCGUACCCCCGGCAGGGCUGGGCGCUGACGGCACACGGGGAGCCAGGGGCUGGGUGCCCGAGCCAGGGGCUGGGUGCCUGAGCCAGGGGCUGGGCCAGCUCUGGGCUCUGUGGCUCUCAGCCAGGGCACCCAGCAGCACCUUCCCUGACUGCCCACUUGCCCUGGGCACUCCUCAGUAAUUUGAUGUGCGUUUUUACACAAAAUCAACACCAUGUCCAUGCACAGCACUCUUCUCUCUCAAAUGAUUGCCAGAGUAGUCCCCAGUAAUUCCUGACUGAAGGACAGUGUCUACCAAACCCUUCACCUGCCUGUGGCUCUGAAUGUGGCUAGGGGAAGGUGCUGAGCACUCUUUGGGGUCACAGCCCUGCUGCUUCCAUCCUUGUGCUGUGGUGGGGUAUCCAACUCGUGUAAUGUCUUGUCAACUGAAGGGAAUGUCUCCAGUAUUCUGUCUCUUUCCAGACCUCCCCUCUUGUUAGAAUUAGGACUGUCCUGGUAAUGCUGAGGCUAAAUUCCAGGCAUGAAGAAAUGGAGGGGAAACCUACCCUACAUAUUUACAAGAAUGUCUUGCUCUUCUCCCAUGAUCUCUAAGGGUUUUAAUGUCUGUGGCACAGUGUGUAUCUUGAGAAGUCCAUUGCGGCAAACAUGUCCAAGUCCUGACAAAAAAUGAGAGAGGGAUCAAAAGGAUUUAUAUAUUUUUUUGUACAGAGGUUUUUCUUAAACUGUAUAAUUUUGUAAAUAUUUUGCUUUUUUUGUGUACUAAAAUUACCGGCGUAUAGAUUUCAAUAAGAAUUGUUGUAUUUUUGUAUUUGGAAAAUGAAAAUUACAGUGGAUUAAUCUGUAAGAAAAAUUGCAGUAGCCUUUGACACACACAGAAUGGAUUCCUUUUCAUAUGGUUUUAGCUCUAAAGUGACACUGGGGUGGCACCUCUGUCCAGGGGCGUGGGUGAGGGAGCAAGGGCCAUCUUUGAGAGCUUCCUACAAUUACUUUUUGCCCUCACAGUACCCCUGGCAGGCUGGCCUGAGUCCCGGGUGCCAUCCCAAGGGUGGCUGCUGCCCAGGGGGCUGGAAGUGCCCCCCAGCCUGGCUGUACCCAGGGGGUAGAGGGACCACAUCUGGCGCUGGGGGCUGGAGGAGGAGGAGGGGAGCUGUGUGAAACUGGUCUGCCUUUUGACAAAGCUUAUGGACCCCCUUAUAUUUUAGGGCAUGCUGGGUAUCUCUUGGAGUGGUUUGGCUUGGAUUCUGUGUUUCCAUAGUCAGCUAGGGCAAUACAGCUGAGUUUAUUUCAUGGUGAUGCUUUACUGGGAAAUUCACCUGUUCCUUGGGUGAAACACAACCCACAGGGUCCCUGUGUGCCCCAGCCAAGUGUACCAGCUUGAGCUGGGGGACAGACACUGAAGGAGGAUGGGAUGGGGAAAGGAAGUCACUGUGGAAAGAAUUCCCUCCCUUUCCUUGCUGAAUUAACCUCAGCAAAAUAAACAAAACCACGUCAUCA